UGGAGGUUUUAAAAAUACAUAGGGAUUAAGGAGAGAACGCAGGUAACUUGUUUUUCUUUGGUUUUUACCAUAUAUUGGGGCUGAUGUGUACUGUAGUCCUUGCUGCUGUCCAGUAGUGAUGGGAGUGAGCGCAGGACUUAUCUUUCUGCAAGAUAGCAGUACUGUAUAUUAGAAAAGAAAUGACUCACAGGUUGUACCUGAUAGACCUACUUAAAUCUUUUUACUUUAUUCUUUCUGUUGCAUAGAAGUAUAAGUUUAUUACUCUGUUUUAUUGUAAGUUAUUUCACAUGGGAACUGUGUGCCUGGAAUGAUUGUUGCUUUAAAAAUACUAUAAGCCCACUACACUUAUUAUGAGAGUGGGAUAGUGUAAAUGUGUUGCAUUGUUUGCAUGAUGAGCUCAGUAUAUUUUAUAACUGAGACAAAAAGUCACUUCAUUAGUAUUUGAAAGUUAAUUCCCCAUAUGGGAUUAAUUGUAUAGAAACACCAAUCAGCACAUCUUCCCUGCCCUGUGUGUUUGUUGCAAAGGAUCCAUACUGUAAAUAUGAUUUUUGUUUGAAAAUAACAGAGCAACAUUUACAUUUUCAGCGGUCCAACACAUGCUUUAUUUUGCACUGUAAACUAACCUUUUUAUUGCAACAGGUUCCUUUUAAAUGAUCCAGUGUAAUAACUACUGCUUGUGUCUUCUAUGUCUCACAUUAUGUGUUAUUUUAAAUUGUGGUAUAUAGCCUGAAUCAGACAUCAUGGACAAAAGGUUUUUACCUGUGUUACUAAGGGCUCUUGGAGACUGACCGGUCUAAAGGUUUGCCAUGCCUUUAAAACAUGGUAUAGUAUAAAUUUUUUAAGUCUCUGAGAGUUCUGAGAGAUUCAGGUGAAACCAUGUCUGUUUAAUCUGGUCCAGAUGUUUGUUCAAUUUCUGUAAGAUUUAAGUUGAUGCAGCAUCAUCUCAGAUUAGUUAAUGGUAGUUUUAUACAAAUAGUUGAGUUAUGAGCGCGCUAUAUAAAUGGAUCCUUUCUUUAAAUACAAUACUAUAGUAGAUUAAAGUAAUGAAGUUAAUUAAGAAAAUGUACACAUAAGAAUCCCUAAAAUAAAUCUAAACUAAAAUUGGUAUACCUUCCAAUAAUAUGUUCUGAAUACAGCUGUUAACUGUUUAUUCUGUGUAAAUGGUGAUUGUGAUAAUGUGUGAUAAGUGUGCAGUUUAACUUGAAAGUGGUUUAAUUUAUAUGUUGCUGUGUUGUUUUAAAUUAUAUGUGAAUCAGUUUGUCACAGUCUAGUGAUACUGAUAAGAAUGACAGCCAAAUAACCUAGCAAAUAACUGUUUUAUUAGUUGUUGAAUACUAGCGUUUUGGCCAAGAAUAGUUGGAGAUUUGGAGGUGUUAGUUUAAGAUUGCUUUUAUAUUGUGUCUAUCCGUGUUUCCUAGGAGGGAGACAGAGUGUGUAGUUGUGUGCCCAUAAAUGUCAUUUCUGUAUUGGCAUAUCUGCUGGGUACCCAUUAUGUGUUUCUACAAAGAUAUUGCUUUGUGAGAUGACGUGUAAUAUUACAUUGGAUGCUGAGUAUGAGUUAUAUGGUUUGAAAUGAAUUGGUGAUUAUGAGCUUAGUACUUCAGUAAGAUGUGCUAAAAUCUGGAACAAGGUGGAAGCUGAAAUGUUGGGAUUAUGGAAGAAUAAGCAGUCUAUAUUCACUGCUUUGGCAUAUAAGCAGGAUGCAAAGGAAGAGAUUGGUAAUAUGAUUUUUGUAAAUAAAUUUUACAAGUGUUGGAAGGAUGAGGCAGGUUUGAUGUCUGGAGAUGAUAUAGAUCUUUUUAAAAUACAGUCAUGCCUUGGUAAUAUGUUGCCACAGUAUUAUUUGCUUGUGAAACAAUUGAUUUCAGACUGGGCCAAUUUGGAUAGCUCAGAUUUUCUUACCAAGGUUAUAGAAAAGGAAAAUGCAGGUUGUUUUGAAUUAAGAAAAGAUUUAGGAAAGUAAGGUUGCUUAUUAUGCUCAGGGAUUGCAACAUAUUAUGUCCAGCUACACAGGCUGAGAGCGAGGAUGGGAUGGAGCACAUAAAGCCCGCGGAAGGGGUGGUCAAAGAGGGGCAAGGGGAUGGAGACAGGGAAAUCAGGGUUAUAGGGGCAGGGGUAACCAAGGAGGAAUAGACAGGAACACUUGUUUCAACUGUGGACAAUAUGGCCACUGGAGGAAUGAGUGUCCACACCCCAGGAAACCCCAUCAAACCCCACACACCCCACCAACCCCACAAUUCUCAAAAUAUGCCCGGUAGGCAAGAACAACACCAGAUCCACUCCCAACACCACUGGCCAGCAUAUCGCUUAGUUCAGGACUUUAGAGCCCUGAAUAGUUUAAUUGUGCCCAUUUCACCCAUUGUCCCUGAUGUGACAUCCCUCAUUACAGCCAUUCCACAUGAUGCC
rnacentral:lncRNA from 1 species